rnacentral:lncRNA from 1 species
AUAGAAUUGAAUGGAAUGUGAAUCUACACUCAGGUGAAGCCAGGGUAUUUUGAACGUCCCUACAAGACUGAAGCACCACUGGGAAAUAAGUAAUAGAGAUGCCAUCAUUGUGGAGGUCAUAAUGCUUGUCCUGAACACGAGGGGUCUCUAGUGAGGCACCAAUUCAGCUCCUCUUCUGUGGAGAGACUACAUGGGUGCUGAAGAAACAAAGACACAACGCAGCUCCUCUCAAAGGAGUUCAGAGCUUAGCAGGGGAGACAGAACCAUGAAUGCAUAGUUACGCAUCAAUGUGCUGCACGAGCACUGAAGCCCAAGCACAAGCGGCCUGAGUCCCAGUGAGUCUAACCCCUCCCCAUCCUGCCCUCCCACACCACAACCCAAUC